rnacentral:lncRNA from 12 species
CUGACCCCCCCCAGGGUGUAUUUUCUGGUGCUGGGUGUAUUUUGGGGUGCCAGCUGUAUUUUGGGGUGGGGCUGGGAGAGAGCGUCAGCAUCCAGAGCGGCCCCCACCGAGGGGUGACGGGACAGGUGGAGGCGCUGGAGCCCGAGCUGGGCCGGGCGCUGGUGCGGCUGGCGCUGGGGGGGCAGGUGGUGACGGUGCCGCUGCACGGGCUGCGCGCGCUGAGCGGUGAGUGCUGGGGGGGCAGGUGGUGACGGUGCCGCUGCAUGGGCUGCGCGCGCUGAGCGGUGAGUGCGGGCCAGUAUGGACCAGUACGGACCAGUAUGGACCACUGACCCCCGAAACCCCACCCAGUACCCCCCACAGCCUGCCCAGCAACCCCCAGUGAGCAUCCCAGUAUGGACCAGUAUGGAUCAGUGACCCCCGACAACCCCCAGUAACCCCCAGUGAGCAUCCAGUUUAGACCAGUACAUCCCAGUUACAUCUCCCCUCUAAUUCCCAGACUGGGGUUACUGGGAGCUAACUGGGGUUACUGGGAGGGUAACUGGGGUUACUGGGAGCUAACUGGGGUUACUGGGAGGGUAACUGGGGUUACUGGGA